rnacentral:lncRNA from 1 species
CACCAGAAGUGACUUGCAAUUUCUCAAGUCACUCCUGACAUGAAAAAUUAUUAUUAUUAUUAUUAUUAUUAUUAUUAUUAUUAUUAUUAUUAUUAUUAUUAUGUUGUUGUUGUAUGACACAGCAAACAAGAUAGAUAUGCUGGAUUUCGUAUCACAAAAUCACAAGUCGAACACUUCCCAAGUGUCUAGGACUGUGUGAUGUAUUUUCGGAUGAUACGUGCAGAUCCCAGUAGGGUGGCCUUUUGCAGUUGGCAGAUCGUAAUUUUGUCAAUGUCUAUUGUUUCCAAAUGCCGGCUGAGAUCUUUUGGCAUGGCACCCAGUGUGCCCAUCACCACCGGGACCACCUGCACUGGUUUCUGCCAGAGUCUUUGCAGUUCAAGUUGGAGGUCCUGAUAGCGGCUGAGUUUUUCCUAUUGUUUUUCGUCAAUGCGACUGUCACCUAGAAUGGCAACAUCAAUGAUCCAAACCUUUUUCUUUUCCACAACUGUGAUGUCUGGUGUGUUGUGUUCCAGAACUUUGUCAAUCUGGAUUCGGAAGUCCCACAGUAUCUUUGCUUGCUCAUUUUCCAAUACUUUUGCAGGUUUGUGAUCCCACCAGUUCUUUACUGUUGGCAGGUGGUACUUGAGGCAUAAGUUCCAAUGAAUCAUUUGGGCCACAUAGUUGUGCCUCUGUUUGUAGUCUAUCUGUGCGAUUUUCUUACAGCAGCUGAGUUUUUCCUGUUUUUUUCGUCAAUGCGACUGUCACCUGGGAUGGCGACAUCAAUGAUCCAAACCUUUUUCUUUUCCACAACUGUGAUGUCUGGUAUGUUGUGUUCCAGAAUUUUGUCAGUCUGGAUUCGGAAAUCCCACAGUAUCUUUGUGUGCUCAUUUUCCAAUACUUUUGCAGGUUUGCGAUCCCACCAGUUCUUUCCUGCUGGGAGGUGGUUCUUGAGGCAUAAGUUCCAAUGGAUCAUUUGGGCCACAUAGUUGUGCCUCUGUUUGUAGUCUGUCUGUGCAAUUUUCUUACAGCAGCUGAGGAUAUGAUCCAUGGUUUCGUCGGUUUCCUUGCAGAGUCUGCAUUUUGGGUCAUCAGCUGAUUUUUCAAUCUUGGCCUUAAUUGCCUUUGUUCUGAUGUCUUGCUCCUGGGCUGCAAGGAUCAGGCCUUCUUUCUCCUUCUUCGGGGUCCCAUUCAUGACCCAGAGCCAGGUCUUCUCCUUAUCAGCUUUUCCUUCAAUUUUGUCAAGGAACUUUCCAUGCAAUGUUUUGUUGUGCCAGCUGUCAGCUCUAGUUUGUAGUGCGGUUUUCUUGUACUGGUUUUUUGUCUGCUGUGCUUUGAGGAGUUUCUGAUUUUUUACUUAUUAUUAUUAUUUCUGAUAUUUCUACCCCGCCCUUCUCCCCGAGGGGACUCAGGGCAGUCCUCUACCACAUUUUUACAUAGCUCCAUUUUCUCAUUUUUAGGAAAGCUGAAAUAAAUUGAUGGUCUUCUAGACUCGGGUCGAGAUGAGCAGAAUAUAUUCAGAUUUCGCCCCAGUACUCAGCCUAGUACACUGGAAAGAAGCACCUUUUCAUUGUCUUGCAUGUCAGCACAUUUCCCCAAUUUCCCCAACAACCAGACAACACCAAGAUAAUCUGAGAAUAGAGAUUGUUUUCCUUGCAUAUGGAAAUCCAGCAUGAUGGGAGGAAAACAAGGCAAAGUAGAAGACAAACCUGGAUGUGAUUCAUGUGAUGCAUUGAAAUUCAAGCCCCAUAACCAUAGACAUUUUCAGACAGACAUCGCUAAAUGCAUUCUGAUAUACUUAACAUGAUAGCUACAACUCCACAACAGAUUCAUGUUUAUAGCUGCUUAUUGUACCUCCAUUUUCUCAGCCAGCAUUCAUCAUGGGAAGCUCAGUGUUCAUGGAGCAACGCUAUAAUUUCAGUUCCACAUAAAAUGAGAUUCCACUUUCAUGUGAUGAAGUGCAAAUUAAAUAUAGGUUUAGAAGCCGGCAUACGAGUACAUAUGGAGUAGUGCUCUCUGUGUUAUCCUUGCAGUAGAACAAGGAGAAUUUAAUGUAGAGUUUUUUCCCCUUUUUUUGUAGUGUGCAUGUCUUAGUAAAAUUCUAAUCAAUAACGCUGUCAAGAACAGACUCAGAACAGAAUCAAUUUCCAGGCUCUGUUUUUUUGGUGUUUUUCAAAAAGAGGGAUACAUUAUUAGUUCAGUAACUAUGAAACAGAAAGAGAUGAAAGAGUGUCGGGUUUUAUAUUAAAAACGAGCACAUCUGCUCAGUUACAUAAUGAUAAUAAACUAUUCCUUGUAGUCAUGGCAAUGGAAAAGUAAUAGAUGCAGAGAAAGAUAUUUUUACAGAGCUCGAUUUUUAAAAGGAGAAGAGAAUGGAAAAGCCCCAAAAUCAAAAUUAUCUUUAUGAGAGAUUCUUUGGGUUGUGGAGUUUCAAUGCAGGGGAAGCAUUGUUUAUUUUUUGUUAACACAAACAACACACACAUUUUAGUGUAAAUUUGUACUCUCUAAAACCUGCCUUCCAUGAAUGUUGAAUAAAACAUGCAGAGAGCCUGAAUAUUCAGAUGUGAUUUGCUGAGAACUCUUUUUUUGGCAUAAAAGUGCAUUGUUGCUCAAAAUGAGUCUGCUGAAGCUUGGAGAAAUAUUAUGUUAACCAGAGUCUUGAUGUUAAAUUUUAUUUAUGUCCCAAUCCAGCAUGGAUGUGGUACUAGCUUAGCAUUGCAAUUGGUGCCAUGGUAGAUCACCCAGGAAUCCAACCAUUGAACUAAGAAAAUCAAAUUCUUCCCUAACAGGUAACACUAUGUUAGAGAUGGGAAGAUUAUUUUAAAAGUAUUGGGGAAAAUGGUCAAAAAGCAGGCUCUCCAAGUAUUGAG